rnacentral:rRNA from 1 species
UACGAAGGGGGCUAGUGUUGCUCGGAAUUACUGGGCGUAAAGCGCACGUAGGCGGAUUGUUAAGUCGGGGGUGAAAUCCUGGAGCUCAACUCCAGAACUGCCUUCGAUACUGGCGAUCUCGAGUUCGGGAGAGGUGAGUGGAACUGCGAGUGUAGAGGUGAAAUUCGUAGAUAUUCGCAAGAACACCAGUGGCGAAGGCGGCUCACUGGCCCGAUACUGACGCUGAGGUGCGAAAGCGUGGGGAGCAAACAGG